UACAGAGGGGGCAAGCGUUGUUCGGAAUUACUGGGCGUAAAGGGCGCGUAGGCGGCCUGCUAAGUCGAACGUGAAAUCCCCGAGCUCAACUCGGGAACUGCGUCCGAUACUGACAGGCUUGAAUCCGGGAGAGGGAUGCGGAAUUCCAGGUGUAGCGGUGAAAUGCGUAGAUAUCGGGAGGAACACCUGUGGCGAAGGCGACCCCCUGGUUGGAUACUGACGCUGAGACGCGAAAGCGUGGGGAGCAAACAGG
rnacentral:rRNA from 1 species